UUUUUCGCUCUAAGAUGAGCCCGCGCAAGAUUAGCUAGUUGGUGAGGUAAUGGCUCACCAAGGCAACGAUCUUUAGCUGGUCUGAGAGGAUGAUCAGCCACACUGGAACUGAGACACGGUCCAGACUCCUACGGGAGGCAGCAGUAGGGAAUAUUGCACAAUGGAGGAAACUCUGAUGCAGCGACGCCGCGUGAGUGAUGAAGGCCUUCGGGUUGUAAAGCUCUGUCGCACGGGAAUAAGAAAGUG
rnacentral:rRNA from 1 species